UCCCCCGUGAGGGGGCAGUCUCGUCAGACACUUGUAACUGGCAACGGGGGUUGCGUUCGUUACCCCACUGAAGGGAACGAUUCAAACCACGAACUGACGACAGCCGUGCAUCACCUGUCCUACACCCUCGAAGGCUUCCUAGCUUUCGCUAGGCGUGCAGUAGGAUUUCUAACCCUGGUAAGGUUCUUCGCUUAGCGACGAAUUGAGCCACACGCUCCACCACUUGUGCAAGCUCCCGUCUAUCCCUUUGAGUUUUAGCCUUGCGGCCGUACUCCCCAGGCGGGGUGCUUAAUGCGUUAGCUUCGGCACGGAGGGAGUCGACACCCCCCACACCUAGCAUCCAUCGUUUACGGCGUGGACUAC
rnacentral:misc_RNA from 1 species